AACAUUGAAUGAUAAAUCCAAAUCCUGUAUAUUUGGUGGUAUUUUUUUGGGAAUUGUGGUAAAAUGGCUGCAUGUUAAUUCUAAGCGUUGCAAAUUGGGGGAAUUUUUCAAAAUAGUUUGAUUUCAGUUUGAUGUACUUCACAGUUUUAUUAAAAUUAAAAUUAUGUGAUUUAAGUAUAAAAUUAGACAUAACUAUCCCUGAAUAGUUAAAGUGUUUUUUUAUUAUUUUUUAAAUAUUUUUCUUGGUAUCGACUGUUUAUUACUAUUGUAUCGUAGUUAAAUUUAAUAUUUUUAAUAUUCAGUGCAGUUACCAAUAUGUCUUCCUUCAAAAAAGUCGUACGCUGAUCCUCAUGUUUUCUGUUUUUGAAAGGGAUCAGCAGACUACGAAUAUUCUUCGGAAUUAGUAUUUCGGAUUUCGAAAUUAAUAUUUCGUAUUAUUCUUUAGCAAAAAAAGCUUGUCCAUGCCAUUUAGCGUUUCGUGGUCUAACAUCGUAGUACCUUAUAUUAUGACACCUAAAUUGACGGUCCGGUAGUUGGCCUGUUUAAUGAGUUUGCCAAUAUAUCUCCUUUUAAAGAAUUCGUACGCUGAUCCUCAUGUUUUCUGUUUUUGAAAGGGAUCAGCAGACUACGAAUAUUCUUCGGAAUUAGUAUUUCGGAUUAUUCUUUACCGUAAAAAAAUUGUCCAUGUCAUUUAUCGCUUUGUGAUAUGCUAUCGUAGUAUUUUAUAACAUGAUACUUAGGUUGACGGUCCGGUAGUUGGCCUUUUCAAUACGUUUACCAAUAUGCCUUCCUUCAAAAAAGUCGUACGCUGAUCCUCAUGUUUUCUGUUUUUGAAAGGGAUCAGCAGACUACGAAUAUUCUUCGGAAUUAGUAUUUCGGAUUAUUCUUUACCGUAAAAAAAUUGUCCAUGUCAUUUAUCGCUUCGUGAUAUGCUAUCGUAGUAUUUUAUA